rnacentral:rRNA from 1 species
AAGACCUUGCGCUUUUGGAGCGGCCGAUGCCUGAUUAGCUUGUUGGUAAGGUAAAAGCUUACCAAGGCUUCGAUCAGUAGCUGGUCUGAGAGGACGACCAGCCACACUGGGACUGAGACACGGCCCAGACUCCUACGGGAGGCAGCAGUGGGGAAUUUUGGACAAUGGGGGCAACCCUGAUCCAGCCAUGCCGCGUGAGUGAAGAAGGCCUUCGGGUUGUAAAGCUCUUUCAGCCGGAACGAAACGGUUACGGAUAACACCCGUGACUACUGACGGUACCGGAAGAAGAAGCACCGGCUAACUACGUGCCAGCAGCCGCGGUAAUACGUAGGGUGCGAGCGUUAMUCGGAAUUACUGGGCGUAAAGCGUGCGCAGGUGGUUUUGUAAGUCAGAUAUGAAAGCCCCGGGCUCAACCUGGGAACU